GGGGAGAGAGGGAGCCCCAGCUGGCGGGAGCCUAGCCAGAGAGAGAGAAAAAAGAAAAGUUUCCCGGAGUCUUCGUUAGUUGACUUCCCUAUCCGAAGCUUUCUCCGGCGGACAGAACUCGCCCCCAAUAAAGGAAGGAGUGGGGGUCUUUAUUUUUUUCAAUGUCCCAUAGAGUCCAGUGUUUACAAGAUGAGAAAUGCCACUGCCAGCGUCCUUCUGGAGAGAAAGGCUGAAAUGGAGGACCGACGCCUUCCUUAUAAGGUACGAUGCUAACUUGACCUUCACUUUGUCAUGGCGCCCCCCGCCCACCCAGACUGCUGAAAGCGACCAGGCAGAGUGAGAGAAAUUGCUGACCCUUGCCUCUGCCUCCCUCCUCUCUUUUUCUUUUAAUUUCUGCCCUUUUCAACCCUACCUUUUCCUUUUAAUUUCUUCCUUUCUUUGUUUUCUCCUCCGGUUCUUGCUGCCCCCUUUCUUUCUCUCAUUUGUUUUAGUCUUGCCUUUGGUUUCAUAGUUCCCUACGAUUAUCUGGAUUAUCUGGGCCUUGCUCUCUGCCUUUGCCUCUAAGGCAGUCUUCCCCUGUCUCCCACAGGCUUCCGGACUCUUGACUCCUGGAAACAUUUUUUUUUUUUUUUUUUUUUGGUGCGAGUGUGCAUGCUGCUGGGACUUAACCGAGGGUCUCAUACAUGGUAGGCAAGUGUUCUACCCCUGAGCCACAAACCCAUCUUGAAAAAAAUAUUUUCAGUCUUCCCUUCAUCCCCACCAUGAACUGACCUCUGCAGUCCCAACUAGGCUUUUACGUCCACUCAUGUGUCCUUUGGGAGGAGACUCCAGGAAAGAAAAUAAAUUUGGGAUUAAAAGGGGGGGGGGCUUGCUCUGGGCCCAGUGCCUAUUUGGGGUUGACUGUGAACUUGAUUUUGAUCAGCUCCUGUCUUGCUCUCUCUAGUCUCACCUACCAAGUCUCCACAACACUAGUGGCCUUGCACUGAGAACUGAGAGCUAAGUCCCUUACUGUGGAGGCCUAGGGAGAGCAAAGCCCACUGCUCCCUAGACUAAGAAGGGCACAGUUCAAGUAUCAAGUUGUUCUUUGUCCUUGUCUGAGCUUUAUGACCCCUAAAAUUCUAGAGAUCUCCCUGAAGACACUCAGAUAAAAAAUUUAGAGUAUUAACAAUUUUUGAAAAAUUUCACUCUUUUAAUAGUAGGAAAGAGAAAGACUCUCAGAGCCUCUCUACCUUGCUUCAUGCUGCCUCCCAGGCUCCAACAGAGCUUCUGACAUUAACUCUAAUCAUAUCUUGUGUGACUAUAAAAUAAUAUUAUCGACACCCCUAUAAUUAUCUAUUAUCCACUUACUUGUGAUGAUUACAAUACUAGAGGAGGCAGGUCUAUGCUGACAAAGUGAAGCCAAGUGAAUAUUGAAAAUGAAACUGGAUCAGAGGCCUUCAAACUGGAUCUCUUACUUAUUUGAGUAUGUUUUCAAAAUCUGUAAGCUCCUGUCUAGACCCUUCUUGAUUUAGGAGUAGUCAUUUAGUAGAACUUAGGGUAAUAUUGAGAGACCCUACCACUAUAUCCUUUUCCUCUAUAUCCCAAACACCCCCUGGCCCCUCCUCCUCCUCCUCCUCCUCAGCACAGACACCAGAGAGGGUCAAACAAUAAAAGGGAAAUGCUUUCUCUCACUCCCCCUACAAUUAUCCGGAUAAUUGCAUGAAUUCUUCCUUGAAUACCACUGUGUACUGAGGGUCCAGGAUUUCAGCAGGAAGUGCAGAGGACAGGAUUUCAAAUGGGGGAAGCUGAGAGUCCUGGGUUCUUACAUUCCCGGACUUUAUAGUUCUGUAUAGUGUUACAUUGUUUCUUCAGGCAAAGAUCUUUGUUCCCCUUCAGUCAUUUUUCUCCCUUUCCCCCUCCCCUUCCCUCCUCCCCCCCUUUUUGGUCCCUUUAAAGGAGACUCAGAUCAUCUUCUACUCUUAAUAGAUGACUAUAAAAGUAAAAUUAAUUCCCCCUUGCCCUUUAAUAUCAAUAUCUCUCUGUUAAGUAUGCACAUCGGCGAGAAUAAACAGAAUUAAGUGCUACAACCCGAACCAGCAAUUACACCCAAGGUGUUUUUCUCCCCCAUUGCAUCUGGCUUAUCAGGGGCUGUUCGCUCUGGUGCAAGAUAACCAGCGGGUAUUUGUAUUUUUUUAUAAGCUCAUUGGACCCUGAGCCAGCACCGACCUGGUAGAAAAAGCAACCACGAAGCCAGAGAGAAAGAGAGAGCCAGAGGAGGGAAGAGAGCGCCAGACUGAGAUGAAAGGGAACCACACAGAGAAACGCUGGGAAAGGAACAAGACGGCAGGUCCCCGGAACAGAGGGCAGGACAAGCACUCACUGGCUCGCGGACAGAGGUUUAUAUAUUUUUAUUUUUAAAGUCUCAUUUUGGGCCCGAUGAAGAAAAGGGAGAAUUCAGGGAAGGGGAGAGGAAAGAGAAUUAUCCGGGUCCUGGCUCACAGCACGAACGCUCAAGAAGGAAAGAGCCCUGGAUAAACCCGAGUGGGCGCCAGGGCAGCUCAGGCUCCAGGCAGGCGUCGUCCCACUCGCAGCUCAGCUCGCGACCGGGGCCCUCCAAGCCGCACCCUGCCCGCCCCGCGGUGGCUGCCGCAGCUUCCUUGCUCUUCUUAUCAUCUCCAUCUUUAUGAUGAGGCUUGUUAACAAGACCAGCGAGCUGGCCACUCACAUCUAUCUCAGCCGCGCCCGCUCAGCCGAGCAGCGGCCGGCGGGGGGGACUGGGAGGCGCUAAUUAAUUGAUUCCUUCGGACUGUAAAAUAUCGCAGCGUCUACGCGGAAUCCGUGGACUCAUAAACAAUAUCUCUGCUGGGUGUGAGUGAACUGUCUCAAAGAAUUUUUUUCAUAGGUAUGUCAGACAGCCCUGAAUUUUUAGUUGCUGAGACCUAAGUGAGACUAAUUUUUAGGGGGCCAAAACAGGGAACUCAGUGCCAGAAAGUGCCUCUCCAAAAACGUUGGGAAUGAUUUUGUUGGGAAAAGGAGAAAAGAAAAUUUGGGGUUGUGAGAUAGCUUUUUCCUGUCGAUUGUGUAGACCCAACCAAGUUUAAAAAUGGGAGUCCAAUGGGCUGGGACCGCUGGAAGCAUCUCUUUUCCUAGCGAAAGGGAGGCUAAUCCCAGAUUUGAGGCUACCAAUAGAAGCCCAGGUCAACCUUUGUUUCAUGUUGCUCUCUAGACUCGAUAUUUAAAAUAAAAAUUUAAAAUUAAGCAAAUAUUAGCCUUCAGGAACCCCCUUAUGCUCAGAGAACAGCUAGAAAUCAACAUGUCUGUUAAACACCACACCAGACCAAUGCGGCCUCCUUUUUCCUACCUGGCAGAACAGAGUCAAUCUCUAAUGUACUUACAUUAGGUCUAGAAGAGAGCAUCUUGGGACACAUGGGAUAACCUAAUUAUAUAAUACUAUGUAGGAGUGAUUAUGCAGUAGAUCCUGCUGAAAACAGGACUUAAUCCUGUUCUAAAUACCCAGCUUCAGACAAGAGAGAUACAACAGGGAAAUAGAUAUUGGCGACCACUUACAUAAUAAUGCUUGUAGACAUAGAAGGGGAUUUUAGGAGACAAGAAUAAUAGAAACACAGAAAAGAAAAAAUAAAAGUUCAGCAGAUGGAGACUGUCAUUACUAAUGCCUGAACUUCUUCUAGUUCUUACUUUUAAGAUCACCAGAGAAAUAUGUACUAUAAAGAUGUAAGUCCAACAAUUGUAUUUUUAAUAUAUUUGGUAUACAUACACCAUGCAGGCAAACAUAAUUUACAGUGUGUAAAUAUGCACUUUGUGUAUGUACAAUAUUUUUUCAUUAAAUUUUUGUGUACAUAUAGCAAGAUCUAGGUAAAAUUAAUGCACAGAUUCUAUGUGUCCUGUGGAGUAUAUAAGCAUGUGGCCAAAUAGACUCAGGACUGUACAUUCCCCAUGUAGGAC
rnacentral:lncRNA from 1 species